CCAUGACGGACUAUCUGUGGACUCCAAAACGCCUUCAGUACACGCACACACCUCUUUUCCCUACCACUAGGCUGACCAUAUUGAUGUGGGAUUCCUUUAUGGCCCAUAUAGGCUACCGACAUAAGCUGCAUCCCAAGGCCCCCCUAACGGCACUAAAAACCAUAACCCAAUCACUUUCUCUUUCCCACUGGACACGAAUAGGUUUAGACAGACUUGAGCACCUCUUGGAAGACAGUCGUAAGGUAAUUCCCUUCUCAGAACUAAGGAGGAAAUGGAACGUGCCUGCCCAGGACACUUUCAAAUAUUUGCAAGUCAGGAG